GCUGCUGCUGCUGCUGCUGCUGCUGCUGCUGCUGCUGCUGCUGCUGCUGGGAGCCGUUGAUAGCUUCGGGUCCGGGCUGAGAUGGAGUUUCUUCUGUUCCUGAAGCCCCAGAAAGGCCAAUGAAAAUCCCAACCAUUUUAUUUAUUUCUCUCCUGCUCCCUGGAGGUCCCCUUUGAGGAGAGAUUUAACAGACUGACCGUUGGGGAAAUGUUACAAGAAAUACAAUUUCUGGCCCUGAAGAUCUAGAACUAAACCAGAGCCUCUCUCUCUCUCUCUCUCUCCUGACUGUGUAAGGGAAUGUCAAACCCAAGGAGAAAAGGAAGAUUCCCGGCCGGCUCUCACUCUUUUCCCUCUUGGAACUAAUGAGCCGUUGAUGUGAGAAGGGAUCCCUGAUGGGAUUGACUGGGGUGUAGAACAUGUGGCUGGAGAAGCUGAACAUCACUUAACUGGCAAAAGAAAACCAAAAAGAUUGACUUAAGUGCGCCUUGCUAUGAAACCAGAUUGUUCCAUUCUAGGAAAUUGGGAAGAGAGAAAUUAUGACUUGUAAACCACUUACCAUUACCACUUUUGCUGGCAUCCCAGAAACCACUCUGCUAUUCCACGCACCUGGCUUAGAAUUUUACCUGUUUCACUAAAAAAAAGGAGUUCUCAACAAAUCAAUGCUCCAAAUAAGGACUAUGCUUAUUCUUGUCCUCUUUAUGAGUUCUUUUACGUGAUUCUUUUGGAGAUAUUGCCCUGCUUCUUCCUUGCCCAGCCACUUCCUCUGUCCAGUGAUAUACUGUGAAUACUGAGAUGAUUUCAAAAGCAUUUCUGAAACUAUCACCUCAAUUUUUUUUUAUUAAUUCAUAGAAAUGACUUAAUAACUGGCAAAAAGUUAGUGAAAAGGGAACAUUAGAGAUAUUAAAUAGAAGAAAAAAAAGUGAAAAUUCGAGGGGAUGGAGAAUGGAAAGGACUCUGUUAAGAAGGGGGAAAGGAUUUUGUAGUUUUGGCAACAAAAGACAGAGACAGGGAAAAUUGGCAUAGAAAUGCAGGGAAACAGGACAAAAAGACAAAAAUGGAAGAAAAAAGAUAAAAAUGGAAGCGUAGGAUGGAAAAAAAAAGAAUGGGAAGAGAGUCUAACUGAAGCAUGAAUAUUGAAGCAUGAAUGGGUAAAGAUACUUGAAAUAGAAUGCCACAAAUUUUCAAUAAAGUCAAACAUAAUAAAUUUCAUGGAGAAUUUUUGGAUCUGCUGGUUUCUAUAUACUGUUCUAUUUUCCCACUCCAUUUUUAUAAGUUUUUCAAUUUCUUUCUAUCUCAGAGUAAGGUUUCCAGUUUCUCAAUGAUGAUACAAAAAUUUUAUAUGAUGGUUACCAUUUUCUUUCAUCCUCCACCAAUUUCACUCUGCCAUUGCUCAAUCCUUUUUAAUGUUUUAUCCAUACUUUUCUUUCAGGGGAUAUGUAUGCCAAAAAUGGCCUCAGAAAUCAAUACUAGUCAGUUCCCUUUGGAUAAUGGCUAUCUCAGGAUCCUACUUUUUGGAAACAUUUACUUAAUAAAAAUCUUCCCCAACAUAUUCCAUAUUUUGUUUUCUGAGCUUAAUACAGCUAUUAAUUUAGAAGUGAAGGAGGCAUUUAUCAUCUAGUACAACCUACUCAUUUUACAAAUGAGGAAGAUGAGACUGAGAAGUGUCUUGCCCAAGAUCACACAGGUGGUAAGUGACAGAGAGAAGAUAAAAACUAGAUUUUAGAGCAGUGCUAUUUCCAUGGUGCCCAUCCUGCAUCCCAUACAAGUCUAUGGUAUAGUAUGAUAACCAAGAAAGUUAACAUGAUCUUCACCUGUAGUGAUUUACAUGGUUUCCAGGAAAUGGGAGGUGACAGACCUGCACCUCAUUCCCCAGACCACCGUGGGUUGUAUUUAUUAUGGGGACAACAUUUUAGGAAGGACAUUGGUAAGCUGGGGAGCAUCCAGGAUAAGACAACUAGCAUGGUGAAGGGCUUUUGAGUCCAUGCCAUAUGAGAAUGGGCUGAAGAAACUGAGAUAGUUUAGCUGAGCUAAAGCUAAGGCUAGAGUGAUAACUACUCAACUAAUAGUUAUUCAGGGAGGCAAUAGCUAUCUUUAUAAGUACUUAAAAGAUUAGUUAAGGGAUUAGAAUUAUCCUAGUUUUUCCCCCCAAGAAGGUAGAAAUAGAAGCAAUGAGUGUAAGUUGCAAAGAGGAAAUUUUAGGUUUGAUGUAAGGAAGAACUUCCUAACAAUUCAAAGCUGUUUCCACAGGGAAACAAACUGCCUCUGUAGGUAAUUAGCUUUCCUUUACUGGAGGACUUGGGGGAUAGGACGUUGUCAAGCAAAGGCUGGAUGACCAUUCAUCAGAUAACAUGAGCAGGGAGAGAUUCUUUAUUAUAUAAUUUGGGUUGAACUGGAUGACCCAGUGCUUCCUUUCAACUCUGAAAUUCUGUGAUUCCUAGUCCUUCAGAAGGUAUAAAAGACGUGGGAUCUCUGCUGAUUAGAUCAAUUUUCUUGAUAGUUUUCACUGCAAAUCUGGGAACCAAAUGCUAUUAUUAUAGGGGUGGAAAAAAUAAGUCAUUCUUGGCAGCUCAUUAACUCCAUUUCUGCCCUGAGGCUUCCCCUCAACCACCAAGCCUUGAAUCCUAUUCACUUCUCCUUUCUUCUUUCUCUGCCUUUUAGCCAAUUUAUCUCUGGUCUUGAUUCCAUUUGCUGAGGGUAUCACCUCUGCCUAACUUAUCUUUAUGUAUAGAACAAAUUGAACGGUAUUUCUCUUCCUCAAUCCUUCCCAUGAUCUUGUUUCUUGCCACCCUUUUCUUUCCUAUACUCUCACUAUAAGGAGCAAAACUAAGUACUUAGUAAACAAGAGAGACCAUGGAAUCAUGGUGCUGGAGACUAAGUCAGACCUCACCUGGUCCAGACAGCUCAAUUUGAAGAUGAAAAAAAUGAGAACAGGAGAGGGGAUUUACUUCCAAAAUCCCACAAGAGAUCAGUGACUUGGCCAAGAUCAGAACCACUAUAGAAAUAAGUAUCUGAAAAAUUUUCAAAUGUAAAGCUAGCAUUGAUUUAAAAAGAAAAAAACAACUUUGUAAGGAUAAAGAUGAUUUUUUUCAAACUUUCAUUGAACAUCAUAUGCAAAAUAAUGAUACAAGCUUAAAAAUAUGUUGACCAUUUAGGUUUUACAAAACUUGACUCCCGACCCUCCACUGCCACCCUCUCAUCAUAAAUAAUGAAAUGUGAAUUUAUAACUAAACAUUUGGAUUUUCAUGCUGUAUAAAAGUUUGAAGAUUUUUUUUUUUUUCCAAAUCAGUGGUUCUACCUCAAUUACAUAGCUGGAGAAACUGAAGCACAGUGUGAUAGAAGGUUUGACACAGGACUGCCCAGAAUGGAGUGCCCUUUUAUCAAAGAAGGAACUAUGCUCUGAGAAAAGCAGGAUUGCAGUAACUCAAAAGAAACAUGAGGUGCACAGAUUUAGAGACAUCUCCACUCCAAAUGUUCUUAAGGACUAUUUGUGCCUGACAUAGGUGUGCCUUCAGAGUUUAGUCACAGUUGGACAUGCUGUACCUUGAGCCCAAAAGAGUGACAUCAUUUUGGUCCUUUUUGAGAAUGGACAACAACCAACCAAUUCAGCACAAUUGAAGCUAUUCGAUUAUAAGAAGAAAAAAAAUUUUUUAAAAGAAUUCUACAGCUUUCUAGGACAAAAAAGUAGCUUGGAAAGGCCUUUUGAUACUUAAACCUACCACAAAGCAGUACCCCAAAAAAGGUAAUAAAAAAACCAUGAGGGAUGAAUAAUAGAAUUUUAUUUGUUGUAAGAAAAAAAGAGGGCUUUUGUCUCUUUGAUGUCUUGAUUUGUAAAGGGACACACAGAGGAAGUAAUAGUUAGGACUUGGGAAAAAAUUCCAAAAAAGGGAAAGGGAAGCAGUCAGUCUUGAGAGGGAAGGGGAAUUAUUGGGGAGAAGAGAAUUAUUUAUUAUAUCUUAAAUUGGAGUGCAAUGACUGAAAAAUAAACCAUCACUGAAUAUAAAAGUAUAACCAUGGGCGCAUUGUGCUAUUUCUAUGAUACAGACCUUGAGGAGAGAUUUAUGAACCUAUUCAUGUUGGCAAAAGUUGACAAUACUGUUUUAUUUCCAAAGUGGAAUAGUCUCUAGUCAAUCCAAAACAUUUGUUUAUAGGAAAUUCACUUUAAAUCUAGGAAUGGCUACACAUUUAAGUAAAGGAUAGAAAUAAACGUUGUUAUGUAUUGAUUUUUUUAAAGGGGACUUAUAAUCAUUAUUCAUAAAAUAGAAAGUCAAAUUACAAAAAAAUUAUAUUGUUCAUAAAACCACUAUAGGGAAUGAAGUUAUUAAUCUUAAAUAUAUACUCAAUGGAUGAUAUAAUAAUCUCAAGUAUUCAGAAUAAAUGCUUACAAAUACAGAAAGAGUUGUAGAGAUUUAAAGUGCUAAUAGUAAGUAACUUUGACAUUUCUUCUCUCAGAAAUUGAAAAAAGAUAAAACGAGAAACUAAAGACUUGGACAGAUUAUUGGAAAAGUUGGACAUCAAUGAAGAAGCCUGAGGCAAGUAAGAUCAUCAGAGAUUAUGAGGGGUAGUAGGUUUUGGGUAGGGCUUUCUUGAUGGAAAACUAGAAAGAUGGCUUUUGGACAGAGAUUACUUUGAAAGUGGGUCUGGCUCUGCUUGAUCAAUUGUAGUGGAUGUAGAAUUAAAGCAAAAAACAGCUAGAAGUUGGAACUGGCUAUGUGCAAUUGACAAUACCAAAGAUCAUCCAUUGCCAAAGAACAGAUGAAGAAGUAAGAACUUUCCUCAAGAGUGGGUUUCAGGAGGAAACCAAGAUGGUCUCAGGGGCUUUGUUCUUUUGCUUUGAUAAUGCUGGGAGUUCUUUGGUUGAAUUGUUUUUCAUUAGUUUAUGAGGAAUUAUGAACAUUUUUGUCCCCUAGGGUUUCUUGCUAUGUUUUGUAGGUAUAUAUAAAAAAUUUUAUUUUAUUUAUUAUUUUAUAUAUAAUGAUUUAUUUGUAUUGAAUCUGCACUGAAUGGGGUCUUAAGUCAAGAGUAUAUUUUCUGUCCCCCACACUGAAUUUGAGCAUAUUUGUAGGAACCCUAAGAUAGUGUAGGAGUCCUUUAUUAAAUUUCUGCAGAAGCUUAUCCAGAAUGCUGUUUUUUCUUUCUGCUCUGGAACAUAAGGCCGUAAGAUGAGUGCCAAGGUAGUCAAUAGUCAACAUUUAUUAAAGAGCACCCAUUGUUCUCCAUGCUUUAUGCUGAAUUCUAGAGAUAUAAAAAAAAACAAAA